rnacentral:rRNA from 1 species
UGGGGAAUUUUGGACAAUGGGCGCAAGCCUGAUCCAGCCAUGCCGCGUGCGGGAAGAAGGCCUUCGGUUGUAAACCGCUUUUGUCAGGGAAGAAAUCUUCUGAGUUAAUACCUCGGGAGGAUGACGGUACCUGAAGAAUAAGCACCGGCUAACUACGUGCCAGCAGCCGCGGUAAUACGUAGGGUGCAAGCGUUAAUCGGAAUUACUGGGCGUAAAGCGUGCGCAGGCGGUUUUGUAAGACAGAGGUGAAAUCCCCGGGCUCAACCUGGGAACUGCCUUUGUGACUGCAAGGCUUGAGUGCGGCAGAGGGGGAUGGAAUUCCGCGUGUAGCAGUGAAAUGCGUAGAUAUGCGGAGGAACCACGAUGGAGAAGCAAUCCCCUGGGCCUGCACUGACGCUCAUGCACGAAAGCGUGGGGAGCAAACAGGAUUAGAUAGCCCUGGUAGUCCACGCCCUAAAACGAUGUCAACUGGUUGUUGGGAAGGUUCCUUCUCAGUAACGUAGCUAACGCGUG